GGCCUAACACAUGCAAGUCGAACGGCAGCACGGGAGCAAUCCUGGUGGCGAGUGGCGAACGGGUGAGUAAUACAUCGGAACGUGCCCAAUCGUGGGGGAUAACGCAGCGAAAGCUGUGCUAAUACCGCAUAAGAUCUAAGGAUGAAAGCGGGGGAUCGCAAGACCUCGCGCGAAUGGAGCGGCCGAUGGCAGAUUAGGUAGUUGGUGAGGUAAAGGCUCACCAAGCCUGCGAUCUGUAGCUGGUCUGAGAGGACGACCAGCCACACUGGAACUGAGACACGGUCCAGACUCCUACGGGAGGCAGCAGUGGAGAAUUUUGGACAAUGGGCGCAAGCCUGAUCCAGCAAUGCCGCGUGCAGGAUGAAGGCCUUCGGGUUGUAAACUGCUUUUGUACGGAACGAAAAGGUCUCUUCUAAUAAAGGGGGCCCAUGACGGUACCGUAAGAAUAAGCACCGGCUAACUACGUGCCAGCAGCCGCGGUAAUACGUAGGGUGCGAGCGUUAAUCGGAAUUACUGGGCGUAAAGCGUGCGCAGGCGGUUAUAUAAGACAGUUGUGAAAUCCCCGGGCUCAACCUGGGAACUGCAUCUGUGACUGUAUAGCUAGAGUACGGUAGAGGGGGAUGGAAUUCCGCGUGUAGCAGUGAAAUGCGUAGAUAUGCGGAGGAACACCGAUGGCGAAGGCAAUCCCCUGGACCUGUACUGACGCUCAUGCACGAAAGCGUGGGGAGCAAACAGGAUUAGAUACCCUGGUAGUCCACGCCCUAAACGAUGUCAACUGGUUGUUGGGAAUUCACUUUCUCAGUAACGAAGCUAACGCGUGAAGUUGACCGCCUGGGGAGUACGGCCGCAAGGUUGAAAC
rnacentral:rRNA from 1 species